rnacentral:lncRNA from 1 species
AGAUUUCUUAUGACCCACAUAGCCACCAUUGGAUGUCUGCCUUCAGCUCAUUCUCCAUCAUCUUUUCAUAAUCUUGGUAAGUCAGAUAAGUUGUAUGAGAUAUAUUGUAGAAUUGCAUUUGUAUUUACUAUUUUUACUGCAUUUAUGUAGUUAGUUGGGUGGGGAGAAGCACAUGGCAAGGUGUGAGUGUAGAAGUUAAGAGAACAAUUUGUGGGAGUCAGUUCUUUGCUUCUACUGUAUGGGUCCCAGAAAUCAAACUCAAGUGGUUGGGCCUGGAGGCACAUACCUCUAUUAGUACAGCCCUGUUACAGGUGAUGUAGGUCCAACCACACUCCAUGAAGAACUAUAGCAAUAUCCAAGCUUUUAUAAGAGUAUAGGAUUUUAGCCAUGGAAAACCAUCUUGUGGUGAGUUAUCAUUGCAGAUUCUACCUGAAUCAGAUUUUUGAAAUAUUUACAACAAAACUUCAAAACUCUAAAUC